UGUUUUGCUCUGACUGCAUCUCCCUGUGGAAGGGGUCUUGCCUGUACAAGUAUGCAGUGCUUGAGUUCUUAGAUUUUAAAUUUUAAUUAAUGACUUGAAAAGUCUUUUUACUGCCUUGCACAGCUCCCUAAUCAGUUGUUACAUUGCAUCCAUCUGCUAUCAUCCCAGUAGGUCCUUUCUGUAGGCAGGAACAGGGGAAUCUCUGCAACUGAGGAUUUUUGGUUGACAGAAGACUGCGCUCGUCAGGCAGCAUUUGUGAAAAUUAAGGACGGGAGUAUUAAGAAGGUUGUAAUUUCAUUUGCUUCUUACCAGGGUCUGACUAAAUUUUCAUUCUCAGACUUUGCUUGAAGUAUGAUUAAGGCUAUGGACAGCUCUAGGAGGGCUUAGAAUGUUUAAAUAAUACAGUUGCUGAUUAAAAUAUUAAUACAGGGUGGUUUUGGGAGGAGAUUCAGCUUUAUGAGUCGGUCCUGAGGUUUUCCCCCUGCCUACAGCUCCUCUGGUGGGAUGGAUUGUUGCCAUAGGCCCUUUCUAUUAGCCUGGUGUGUUUGUCCAGGUGUCUGCCUCUUCCAUAAAAGGUGGGGAUUGCUGGACCUGGCAUAUACUCAGCAAGUGCUGCAGCAAAGAAAAGUGACACAAAGUGUUUACUUGAUGAUUUUACUUUUAUGUCUCAGAUUAAUGUGUCCUCUCACCACUGGAAUUUUUAUGGAGAAGCUUACCAACAAGAACCUGUGUACUGAUGAUGACUUGCUGAAUACAACGGGCUGAACACAAUAUGCUGUGUGCACAUCCGAGUGUGGUGUUGGAUUGCCUGCCUUCCCUCAGGCACUUAAAAUUGGCCAUUUGCUGGCUGAGUACUCUGGUUACCAGGAAGCAGAUGUUCUGCAGCAGCUCCCUGUCUCCUGUUUCCAAUGGGCAGCUAUGUGGGAUACACUGGAUACACUGCUCUGAUGCAGAUGAGCAAAAGAGUGUGAUAAUUCCCUGCGGCAGAAUCCAGAUUUACGUAAGCAGAUGAGGUAAUAGCAGGAAGGAAGCAACAUGCUCUGGAAGUAUUUUCCCUGCCAGAAGUUUUCAAGCAAAAUACUGGGAUUUAUUUUCUAGUCAGCAGUUCUCUAAGUGUACAGUCUAAGUCAUCCUUUUCAUGUGGGAUUAGGAAUUGUUUAAGGAUAAAGGGUUACAUAUGACUAACCAUUCCAGGUAUUGGAUUGUAGGAAUACAAAAGAAAACAAACAAAAAAAGGAAGAUAAAUGAGUUUGAAAUUCAGAGAGAAGGAGGUAUAGUCUAAUUAAUUUUAAGAAUUCAAGGCAGGAACAAAUUAUCUGAGCUGUGCAAAAUGAGUCAAAAGACAAAACACCUCUUUCUUUUCCAGAGUCCUUUGAAUCAACUAUGGCGUACUUUGUGUAUAUUAUAACAUAUUCACUUACCUUUGAAGUGCAAUAAAAGAAUGUUUAAUCU